CAGAAACCCCUGAUAAACCCAUCAGUUUUCAUGAGACUUAUUCACUAUCACGAGAAUAGCAUGGGAAAGACUAGCUCCCAUGAUUAUUACCUCCCCCUGGUUCUCUCCCAUAACGUGGGAAUUCUGGGAGAUACAAUUCAAGUUGAGAUUUGGGUGGGGACACAGCCAAACCAUAUCACUGACUUAUUUCACUUAAGACAAUAUUUCCAGUUUCAUCUUUGAUGCUGCAAAAGAUGUGAUUCUGUUCUUUUUUUAUGGCUGAAUAUACACUACAUUUUCUUUAUCCAACCAUCUGGUGAUGGAUACUUAAGUUGAUUCCUUAUCUUUGCUACAGUUCAGUGAUUUUUAAAGUAAACUUACAGAGUUGGGAAAUCAUCAUCAUAAUCCACUUGGAACAUUUUUAUCUCUGCAACAAGAUGUGUCCAUUUGUAGUCACAACUUGUUCCCACCACAACCCCCAGGCUGCCAGGAAUCUACUUUCUGUUUCUAUACAUUUUUUCUGGGCAUUUUAUAAAAAUGGAAUCAUGAAGUCUUUUGUGUCUGGCUUCUUUCACAGUAUAAUCUUUUUGAGAGUCAUCUGUAGUACUUGUGUUUCCUCUUAUUGUUGAAUAGCAGCCCAUUGUAUGGGCAUACUGUACUUUGUCUAUGCAUUCACCAGUUGGUGGACACUUGAAUUGUUUCCACAUUUUGGCAACUAUGAAUAAUGCUGCUAUGGACAUUCGUGUACAAGUGCUCGUGUAGACAUAUUAAUAUGUAAUCUUGUUCUAAAAGUCUAAAAUUCUAAGAAUUUAUCGAACUUGUGAAGAGAAUGACUAUUGAAACUAGCCUUGGUUCUUAUCCUUUGGAUGUGACUACAUUUUUGUCAGAAUGUCAUGAAGAAGCAUAAUUAUUUAUAUCCAAGAUAGAAUUUAACUUUCAAUUAAAAAAUGUUAAAGUUGAUUUUUAAUAAAAUACUUGGACAAAAGUAGAUCAGGGAUUAGGUUGAUUGCUUUUAAAUUUUAGUGUAAAAUUUCAAGAAAGGUUAGACUAGAUUCCAGUGGCUGCAAUGCUGCACAGCUAUAGGCCGCAUCCUCUCAUUGGAGUUGUGUGUGCAGGUGUGCCCUUCAUGUGGGAUGCAGUGGGAAUGGUGCCGUCCAGAGCUGUGUGUGAACAGGUGUCCAUACUGCUAGUCUUUGAGUCUGGGUAAUCUCCACUCUGUCCCUGGAGGGUGGGCCUGUUCUGCUUCUAGAGGUCAAUGCCAAGUCAGAAAGGGAGUCAAGGCCCAGAAUGCCACUCUGCAGACUACUAUAGUUCCAGACUCUAGGGAGUCCUGGGCAGGGGGCUUAUCUUAAACCAAAGGAAUUUCAGACUAGAAUUGUAGAUGGUGCCCUUGAAGAGCUGAUGGGACAGAUUGAAAGUCCUGACUCCCAGCUAAAGCAGUAUCCUACACACCCUCCCAUCUGGAGAGAUCUUGGGCUAGAUGCCCCCAGUCUAACUGAGACGCUGACUUUGGAGGGUUGUUCCAGCCUUGCAAUAGUAGUACCUUUUUGUUUAGGUGGGAGUGGAUUAGAACAGUGGGUAAAGUUUUGGGGUGAAAGAAGCCAACUGGGACAUAUGUCUUAGGGGGACACAGGCUUUGUCCAUCCUUUCUCUAAAAGUACUGGGCUGAACCCUCUCAGCAGAGAGUUGUGGAAAAUUAGAGACGUUCUGUGGAAAGACCAAGUUAAUGUUCAAGUCUCAGAAUCUGAUCUUAGGUCAAAUAUCUCUUGCUUUUGCCAGUAAAAAGAGCCCAGAUGUUUUUCUAUUUACUUAGGCAAACCCUUGAAACACAAGUUAGUCAUAUAAAACUUUACAUUUGCAAUGUUAAGAGCCCAUAUUUGGAAAGUCACAAGCAUAAAAUAUAUACUGUGAAAUGGGAGGUCAGGACGGUGAACUCAUUUCAGAACCAUAGUUUUGACUCAAGAAUUUUGAUGGGGUCUUCACGUUGGUUGAGCUUCUUGGUCCUAAUAUCAUUGAGAGAAUUAAAUCAUGAUAUUAAAACAUUGAAACACUAAUGCUUUGUUUUUAUUGGCAAGAACCAAAAUGAUCUAAUACUAAUGCCACGAAACAUCAGUCACUUUUUUCCUGAUGAAUAAGAUGAACUUUGGCUGCUUAUGAUAGUAAAUUUAAUAAUGUCAGUGAUUUGAACUGUUUCAGUUCUAAAUGUGCAGAAAUGUGUUUUACUGCAUCUCUCUCUCUCUCUCUCUCUCUCACACACACACACACACACACACACACACACUACUUCUGUCAGGAAGUUUUGUGGCAAAUGAGCCCAAAUGCAUAGAUUAGAGCAUAUCAUUCACAUGUGCCAUGUGUGUGCCAAAGUGUGCGUACCCACUGCUAGACUUCCUCUCACAGGUGGUCUGAAUUUGCUUCUAGCUGGUCCUGUAAGCAGAUUUAAUAUUUCAUAAGCACUGCUCCAUCUCAUGCCUCCAUUAUUGACACCACAUGGAAGUCAGGAAAUUGGUUCUUUCUGGGAACAGUUUGCAGAAAUAUGCAGCCUGUCAGCCCCUUUCUCAUGGGUGCAUUAACAGAGCAGCUCACGAUUACAAGUAACGAACCUUCUCCAGAUGUGUGUAGCAACUCAGCUCCAACUUUAUCUUCGGCCCUGAAGAUGGACUUGGCAAGAUGGAUUAUUUGUGGCUGUAUUGUAAUAACUUUGUGAAAUUGGAAUUCCCAGUGAUUGUAAUGGAGGGUGAGGAAGCGGCAGCAGAGGAACAGAUAAUUUCUCCUUGCAGUAAACAACGAAAAGACCAACAACAAUAAAAAGGGCAAAUCAGCUGUGGCAUUUUCCUGCUUUGGACACCGACUCUUCCAGACUGUUCUAAUUCUUUCCCUUUUAUGAUUCUGUUUAUGUUACACACAUUAAAGUUAAGUCAUGUCUUAAAUAAGAUGGAAACUGGAAGUGAGAUUUGGAAAUGACUGAAUCAGGCUUCUUAACUUUUUUCUUCUCUUGGAGAGCUCAAAAACAACGGACAGAAAGGGAUAUACCAAAGAAAACAAUAUUAAUUGUCGGCUUCCAUGGAAAAUUCAAUCCAGUCUUUCAUUCAUUCUCUUCCCAGUGCAGUGCCAGCAGACUUCUCUCUAUAUGGCUAAGGGCUUAAUUUAGCUGACAAAUUUCUGAAGGAUAACUAAGCUUUCAGAAAGAAAGAUUCUAGCUAUAAAUGAAGCAUGUGUGCUCUCUCAGUCACAAAAGACAGAUUUUUCCAGGAUAAAGUAAUUUGGGGUAAAUUUCUCCUGUAUUUUAUUAGCAGUGAUGAUUUCAAGGGAGUAUUCUUUUAAAGCAAGGCAGUAUUUAAAUCUUUCUUUUAAAUCACAAGUCCCUUGAGUUGAUAGUUAUAAAACUGGGUUCCACUGGGAGUUAUUUGUACAUCUUCAAGGUUGGCACCCUUAGUUGUUUGAUGUAGAUGUUCUAGAUAAAAUUCCUAAAGUCCAGCUGUUAUGAUUUAGCUUAAUAUGUUUGUACAGAGGGGUUUCCUUUGUCAUUGAAGAGAUAGAGUCAAAACAGAAUUAGUCAUUCUUGCAUCUUCUAUUUAUAGCCCACUAUUAUUCUGAUGCAUUGUCAAAGAAUGAAGUGGACAAGAAUUUUUCUUCCUUUCUUUCUUUUUUUUGUGUAAACAAAACUCUUUUUAUACUCUGUGGAUUUAACUUUGGUUGCUAACUUAGUCAGACAAGGCACUUAACAAAAAUAUUACUUCUUAAAUGAAAAAUUACCUAUUAAGUCAUCCCAUCUUCAUUUGCAAAUUAAAGGUUUGUCAGUACAAAGUAUGUGGGAUGACCAGAAGUCAUGGAUGACUUACACUGAAGUGGCAAGGGUAGAAAAGGUCAGUUUGAAAAUUUAUUUGUAUGGGUUGCUCAUGACUAAUAGUCCAAAUCUGGAGAGUUUAUAAACAAAAUUCUAUUCUGUUUAUUUAGUUUAUGCCAGCAUUAAAGCUAGCCUGAAAAUUUAGUGAAAGUCAUUUAAGGAAUUUUUAUUUGGAGGAAACUUUAAUUUUUAUUUUUGAGGUCACUGAAUAAAUGUAGAGGUCUCUGUGGCCUGUACUGCAACAAGUAGAACAGUUAGAUAAACUGGUUGUUGAAACUCCCUGGGCCACUGAGUUUUCUUAUUUCUUUUUUUUUUUUUUUUAGUAGAGAGCUGACUUUAGAGGGAUCAAGAAUAGCUUGCUGGAUGGAAGGAGCUUGGGGCCAGUCAUCAUCUUAAAGGCUCUGUGGCAGCUUGGACUUGAAGUAGGGUGCACCCGGAAUUGACCAAUACAAACAGUGGACUGCACUGGAUUCUUCUUGUGCCCUGUCUCAUAUCCUCUUGUCCCACCUUUUCAUAACAGCCAUUGCCAUGGGAACCAGCUGCAUCCAGGAUAUUCUCAUGCUGGCUCUUCCAUCUGCUGCUUCUCAGAAACUCUAUCCCUGACAAGCUCUUGAUCUGUUUACUCACUUCGUCUCCCUGAUUGACUCCUCUUCCUUUGCUCUUUGUCCAAUGUAUUGUCAAUGUCAUCAGACCUUGCAAAGUGCCUGUGAAGUAGUCAUCAUC
rnacentral:lncRNA from 1 species